UCGGACAUGGUGUAAUGGAUAGCACAGCUUCGGACAUCAUCCCGAUGGGACGGGAUUGGAAGCAGACCAAGGUUCAAUUCCUUGUGUCCUGG